GCGGCAGGCUUCAUACAUGCAAGUCGAGGGGCAGCAUAAAUUACUUGUAAUUUGAUGGCGACCGGCGAACGGGUGCGUAACGCGUAUGCAACUUACCUUUUACUAGAGAAUAGCCAAGAGAAAUUUUGAUUAAUGCUCUAUGUUCUUAUUUACUCGCAUGAGUAAAUAAGCAAAGCUCCGGCGGUAAAAGAUGGGCAUGCGUCCUAUUAGCUUGUAGGUGAGGUAAUGGCUCACCUAAGCUCCGAUAGGUAGGGGUCCUGAGAGGGAGAUCCCCCACACUGGUACUGAGACACGGACCAGACUUCUACGGAAGGCAGCAGUAAGGAAUAUUGGACAAUGGAGGCAACUCUGAUCCAGCCAUGCCGCGUGAAGGAAGACGGCCUUAUGGGUUGUAAACUUCUUUUAUACAGGAAGAAACCUUUCCACGUGUGGAAAGCUGACGGUACUGUAAGAAUAAGGAUCGGCUAACUCCGUGCCAGCAGCCGCGGUAAUACGGAGGAUCCAAGCGUUAUCCGGAAUUAUUGGGUUUAAAGGGUCCGCAGGCUGUUUGUUAAGUCAGAGGUGAAAUCCUACCGCUCAACGGUAGAACUGCCUUUGAUACUGGCAAACUUGAGUUAUUGUGAAGUAGUUAGAAUGUGUAGUGUAGCGGUGAAAUGCAUAGAUAUUACACAGAAUACCGAUUGCGAAAGCAGAUUACUAACAAUACACUGACGCUGAGGGACGAAAGCGUGGGUAGCGAACAGGAUUAGAUACCCUGGUAGUCCACGCCGUAAACGAUGGUCACUAGCUGUUCGAUGUACAUUGGUACGUUGAGUGGCUAAGCGAAAGUGAUAAGUGACCCACCUGGGGAGUACGCUCGCAAG
rnacentral:rRNA from 1 species